UGAGAGAAGCUGUUCACUGCCUCAUUCUCCUGGUCUGAGUAGAACUCAUCCAAAUUAAUCAGAGAAGAAGGAGAACAAAUACUUUCUGUUCUCCAGGGGCUGUUCUGAGCACUUUGCAUGGAUGAAUUCCUUCGUCUCAGAAAACCCUUGAGGAUGGCAAAGCUGAGACCCAGGCUUUCAGGAGCAGCACACAUAAGUGACCAAAGGAGCACAGAGGCAAGAAAUACUAUUAAUACUGAAAGGAACUGGAUAUGGUCUCACAGCAUCCAGCCUCAGAUGAUAUCAGAAACACACAAAUAUAGGAUCAUUACCUCCACUUUAAGGAUAAACAAACUGACAUUGCUAUGGUAG
rnacentral:lncRNA from 1 species